GGCGGUUCUCAGGUAAUGCACCCUGGAAUUGGGCUCCCUUCUCUCUGGUUCCAAGUGUGUCACCCAAGAACCACA
rfam:Myotis brandtii contig190386, whole genome shotgun sequence.